GUGCACCAGGCGCGAAAACUUUACAAUGUGCGAAAGCACGAUAAGGGAACUCUGAGUGCCUCCUAAGGAGGCUGUUCAGGUGUCUAAAAAGCACCUGAAGGAAGGGCUGGGUAAGACCGGUGCCAGCCGCCGCGGUAACACCGGCAGCCCAAGUGGUAGCCGACGUUUAUUGGGUCUAAAGCGUCCGUAGCCGGCUGGGUAAGUUCCUUGGGGAAUUUGGCUGCUUAACAGUCAAGCUUUCAGGGAAUACUGCUCGGCUUGGGACCGGGAGAGGUCAGAGGUACUCC
rnacentral:rRNA from 1 species